rnacentral:rRNA from 1 species
UGGGGAAUAUUGCACAAUGGGCGAAAGCCUGAUGCAGCGACGCCGCGUGCGGGAUGAAGGCCUUCGGGUUGUAAACCGCUUUUAAUUGGGAGCAAGCGAGAGUGAGUGUACCUUUUGAAUAAGCACCGGCUAACUACGUGCCAGCAGCCGCGGUAAUACGUAGGGUGCAAGCGUUAUCCGGAAUUAUUGGGCGUAAAGAGCUCGUAGACGGUUUGUCACGCCUGGUGUGAAAGUCCAUCGCUUAACGGUGGAUCUGCGCCGGGUACGGGCAGGCUAGAGUGCAGUAGGGGAGAUUGGAAUUCCCGGUGUAACGGUGGAAUGUGUAGAUAUCGGGAAGAACACCAAUGGCGAAGGCAGAUCUCUGGGCUGUUACUGACGCUGAGGAGCGAAAGCAUGGGGAGCGAACAGGAUUAGAUACCCUGGUAGUCCAUGCCGUAAAACGGUGGAUGCUGGAUGUGGGACCCUUCCACGGGUUCCGUGUCGGAGCUAACGCGUUAAGCAUCCCGCCUGGGGGAGUACGGCCGCAAGGCUAAAAACUCUAAAGCGAAUU